GUCAAAAACAAAACAGGGACGGGCUAUAGCACGGGUUAGCCCCUAGCUAGGCCCGUCCAUUAGUCACUAUAUACAAUUUAUUCUUCUCUUCUAGUCUCUUUGAUCUUUUCCGAGGAGUUGUAAAGAGAGUCGAGGGUUUUUGAUUUCUUCCCUGAAAUCCAUCAACCUCCUUUCAAUUACGAAAUGCAAACAAACCUAGACAGAGAGAAAGAGGAAAUCCAACAUAAUUCUGGACAUUCUUUUUAGGUUUUAUUUUUCUUUGAUGAUUUAUGUCUCUCUCUAUUUGAAAUCUGAAAUUAAAUUGAGAUAAAAGAAAGAGAGAAGGUUGAAGUUGAGAGCAUUUAGACCAACAAAUGAUAAGAUCGUUAAGAUUCAGCUUCAUCCUACCCAUCCAUGGCUUGUUACUGCUGAUGCUUCUGAUCAUCUUGCUGUCUGAAAAUGGGACAGGUGAUUUAUGAGUUAAACGUAGGUGGAGUUGAUGCAGGGCGUUUGAUUGGAGCCAAAUUGGAGAAGCUACCUGCGGGAGAAUCCGCAGAAAUUUCGUGAAGACUUUAGUUAGGACAAAGGUUUUAUCGCCAGAAAAUAAUGUAUUGAAGAUCUGAGAUGCCAGAACAGUGAACAUGUCAGAGAGUCUUGUUCACAAUUGUUGGUUGCAUCUUACAAUUGUCAAGUUCCCGGCUCAGUCUGCACCUGAGUAGCUCGCAAGUCACCUCUUACCAAACGGGAUCCUGUCACCUCUAGGUACUCAAUAGGAUUAGAAAGAGGUUCAUCCUCUUAAGCGCAGCAGCUCUGUGUUUGAACUCUGUAAUUAGCGUCCGGGAAAGGUGAGCGGGCGAGUUUUAGGCCCAAUCAUUUUGGUAUAACAAGAAUAUUAAAGGCAUAUUUUGUUUGAAAAAGGAUGGUUGUUUCUUCUUUUAAACUCAAGGAAGAAGUGAAAUAACUUAAAUGGUGAUAGGAAGGUAGGUGCUCGAAAGAGAAUAACUGAGUUAUAUGAUAUCAUCUGCAUAGAUGAAAAUACUAUUUUGCGCAGUGCUACUUUUUGAACAGAUAAAGAGGCGUGAGCUUGAGAAAGAAAGGAGACUAGGGAAUGAUCAAAUGAGCAUUUACGCAAGCUUGAAUUGUUUAAUGUUGGCAGUUAUGAAUUAUUUUAUUAAACACCUUUAUCAUGCAUUCUAAUCUUCUUCUGCAUAAGGUUCUCGAUAUUCCCUCAGCAUUCGGCUCUAGUUUCUGUUUCCUUCUCCCUUUAGUUUUCAUCUCAUAAGAGUAACAUACUAGGUGGACGUGGGUAAAUGGCACGCACACACCAUCUAAGCCUUAUCUGCUGAAUGGUUUGUAACAAGAAAUAAGUAAAGUUAAUAUGCACCAUGAUUUUAAACACUUGAAGCCGGUCCUACUUACAUUAUAUAGCUCUGUGUUGUAAUGUAUGUGUAAUACUAGAACAGUUUGAUGUUUCAAUUUGCUAAUUUUUGUCUCUCUUCUUU